rnacentral:rRNA from 1 species
UACGUAGGCAGCGAGCGUUGUUCGGAGUUACUGGGCGUAAAGGGUGUGUAGGCGGUUGUUUAAGUUUGGUGUGAAAUCUCCCGGCUCAACUGGGAGGGUGCGCCGAAUACUGAAUGACUUGGAGUGCGGGAGAGGUGAGUGGAAUUCCUGGUGUAGCGGUGAAAUGCGUAGAUAUCAGGAGGAACACCGGUGGUGUAGACGGCUCACUGGACCGUAACUGACGCUGAGACACGAAAGCGUGGGGAGCGAACCGG